AACGAACGCUGGCGGCAUGCCUAACACAUGCAAGUCGAACGAGACCUUCGGGUCUAGUGGCGCACGGGUGCGUAACGCGUGGGAAUCUGCCCUGGGGUGCGGAAUAACUCGGAGAAAUCCGUGCUAAUACCGCAUAAUGUCUUCGGACCAAAGAUUUAUUGCCCUGGGAUGAGCCCGCGUAGGAUUAGCUAGUUGGUGAGGUAAAGGCUCACCAAAGCGACGAUCCUUAGCUGGUCUGAGAGGAUGAUCAGCCACACUGGGACUGAGACACGGCCCAGACUCCUACGGGAGGCAACAGUGGGGAAUAUUGGACAAUGGGCGAAAGCCUGAUCCAGCAAUGCCGCGUGAGUGAUGAAGGCCUUAGGGUUGUAAAGCUCUUUCACCAGGGAUGAUAAUGACAGUACCUGGAGAAUAAGCUCCGGCUAACUCCGUG
rnacentral:rRNA from 1 species